CUUGUAAGCAGGAAUCAGGAGGAUAGAAUUAUUCUCCCUUGCCAAAUGAAGGGCGAGGGAGAGCUUUGUAUGCGUCUCUGUGUGUGGAGUAAUGGUGGUCAGUGAUGAAUAAAUACAUGUCCAUUGGGUUGGAGGAAGAACAAAAUACUGUUUAGGGGGUGUGGGGGGAAUGACCAUAUGGAGAGGAGCAUGACCAUUAGGGGAUGUGGGGACCAAGUGAAAUAAAAACAAAAUUAUAAGAAACAAAUAGAUAAUCUACAUAUUAACAACUGCAACUGUGAUGAAUGUCGUUGGGGUGGGGGAAGAGUAAAAGUCAGUUGAGGGGGGUGUCCAUAGGGGAAGCAGAAUGUAAUAAGUAAAUUUGCUAUCUUGAAAAAUACUGCCAAAUACUAACCAAAUAAAAUGUAUAUAAACAUACUGUAAGUAUAAGUGAUUUUUUUAAAAGGGCUCUGUAGCCAUCUGAGAACUCAGCAAAGGUUUCUAGUUCAGGCUGAACACACAGAUAAAUAUGACAGUUUAUUAAUGUAAUGUAAAACCUGUCGCACACCAGAAUAACGUGUACCUGCACUUACAAUAAACAAUUCCGGACAAGGACAUGGGGGGAACAGAUGGUUAAAUACACAACAUUUAAUGAGGGAAUUGAAACCAGGUGUGUGGGAAGACAAGACAAAACAAAUGGAAAAUGAAAAGUGGAUCGAUGAUGGCUAAAAGACCGGCCGAACGCCGCACGGAAAGGAGAGGAACCGACUUCGGCGGAAGUCGUGACAAUUAAUGUCUGGGUUUGAAAACAUUGACAAAUCUGUUCUUAUAUCAUCGACAACUUAGGAUUUGUUGGUUGAAUUAAGCUACAGUUUUGAAACACGAGAUAUGGUCAAACAAAGAAACACUACAGUAGUGCAACACAAUGAAAAUGUAGGCCUAAUGUCCCAGUUUAAAUUAAUGCGGGAAUUGAUUUUAACUCAUUGGAUAUUUAAAUUGUAGGUAGUAAUGAAUCAUGUUCGUACCAGAAACAUACGUUGUGAGACAGCCAAGCUCACCACAAGAAGUAUACAUCCUCCCUUGUCCUUGUAACAGUCAAGCUGCCUGAUUAGACAAAGUUGCAACAGAAACAUUUAGUAAUACAGUUCUGUAGAUUCUGUCAUUUCCUCCAUCAGUUCUGUACAAUCUGUAAUUUUUUUCCAUCAAAGGAAUUCGACUGCGACCAAUAGUGUUUUCUUGACUGCUUAGUCAUGCAAUCACUGUAUCGUACAGUUAAACAAAUUAUAAUUUAUAUUUAUCACGUACAAGUCUGUAUUGGAUGAUAUGCAAUGUUUUUUUGCAUAUCCCAACUCUCCCUGAGACCCUUGGGAGAGUGGGAUCACAGCCAGGGUUCGCCAUUAUCAACAGCGACCCUGGACAAAUUAGGGUUAAGUACCUUGCUCAAGGGCACAUCGAAAUAGUUUUUCACCUUGUCAGCUCAGGGUUUCGAACUAGCAUCCUUUCAGUUACUGGUCCGAUGCUCUAACUGCCAGGCCACCUGCCGCCCUAAUGCUUUGGUCCAAACUUAAUCAGUGGAACCUUAUCUGAAAAUCCACCUGGAUGGGGACGAUGAUUCCUCAACUGGACUUCAGCAGCUCUGAAUUCCCUCAAACUGUCUUCACAGUUAUGAGGAGGAAAAGGUUGUGCCUAUACAUGGAUUCCCUUAUUCUAACGGUGUUCCCAGACCUCAAGAAACAUUGUAAAGAUGCUGCAGGCUCACAUUAUUGCCCUCACCCUUACAUAUUUUAUUUUCAUCAAAACAAAAGACAGUGUAAUAAUUGCACUCCAACGCAACUAGAAAGAUCACCUCAUUCAUCUAAAUAUCCCUAGUGAUUAUUUUUAUUUCUCAUUAAAAUCUUUGUUUUUUUUUACUGUUUCACUAAACUGUGGAAAUCGGAUGAGGUAAUUAAUAUUAGAUCUUUAUUAUCUGACCUCCAAAUCAUUAAAAAGCAAAAGAGCAAAAUGAAAGACACCAGUUCAGCCUUCUUGAGGAAAGGAGUAUUUGUGGACCACCAACCACCAUAUACAGUAGUCUAUGUAAGCCGAUACUUAUGUAAGCCGAUAAUGUCACAUUUUACCUUCCAGCUAAGACACAUGCAAUAUUUGGUAUGACCUGAUGAGUGUUUUCUUCAUACAGUAUAAGACCGUAAAUAGAAGUGUUCAGGAAAGAGUGGGGACAGUUCGUCAAGUCUCAGUGCUCACUGUUAUGCAAGACAUUAGAGAUGGGAAAUGUCUGAAAAGACAAAGACGGAUCAGGUUAGUCUGUCCUUUUGUGAUACACAUCAUCAAGCAAGAAACAGUGUCAUCACUCAUGCAGAGACAACUGUACAUAUUUCAGUCAGCUGCAAGAGCAUCAAACAGAGUUACUGUCAGUUGUUGUCUAUGGUGAGGCAAGGUUUGUUGCUAUUUGUUCCUGUUGUUACACAUAUUUGUGCUGAUAUGAGGGAUGAGUGAUUUGUAUUGAUUGAUUGAUUGACUUGUAUACAUUCUUUCAAAGGCACAACAUCCAUUUCAAACUGUUAUUUGCACGUAGAAGGUAAACAUGGCACUGUGACACAAAGGUUAUAUUCAUUUACUAGGUAACGUUGUAAACAAACACGGUAAGACUUGUUUCAAAAUAAAGGAUGUAGAAGUAUAUUGGGGGACUGAAAGGGGCAUGUUAGAAGAUAGUGUUUAUGUCACGACUUCCGUAGAAGUUAGUGCCUCUCCUUGUCCGGGCGGUGUUCGGCUCACCGGCUUUCUAGCUGCCACCGAUCUACGUUUCUUUUUCUAUUUCUUUUGUCUUGAUUGUGCACACCUGGUUCCCAUUCCGUUAUAAUUAUUUUCCCUAUUUAACCCUCUGGUUCCCAGUAUGUUUUGUGCAUGUUUGUUCCUUGUUGAGUGUUAUUAGACUGCGGUGUUAUGGUGUGUUUUCCCUGCGUGGAAUUUUAUGGUUGUUUCUUUCCGAGUGAAGUAUGUUAUUUGACUCAGUUCUGUGUCCUGCGCCUGACUGCGUCCUCACCGCUGCACACUGACACAUGACAGUUUAUUAGAAACACAUUCAAAUUAUUAAGAUAUUAGAUCGCAUUCAUUGAGAAGGCCAGGUGAGGAUGGGAGCUGUCACAUCAGUGGGUCAACAGCAGCAGAGGAGUCAGAAGGAUGACCACAGGGGAGGAGGCAAAACCAGGAGAGAAGCCAAGGAUGCUAGAGGUCAACCUUACCUUUGUUUAUUUUGUCAAUGCCCAACUCAUCUUCGAUGUCUUGAAAAGGAAAGAGUCUAUAAUAUUAAUGUAUCUCCUCAAUACUUCUUCUGAUGCCAGAGCCAAACCAUCCCUGACUACAGCCAUUCCUUCUGGAACAACCUCUUAUCUGCAUCAAAACGAUGUCUAAUCUCAUUCUGUGCGUCACCACCAUAGUGGGAUAAGCUGCAAGACGCAGCUUGUUCAAAGAGACUCCCGUCCUGUGUCUUUCCACUGAUUGACUACCUCUCGAUGUCUUCUCAGUUCCCAUCAUAUGGUUCAAUAGACCAUCAUUGUUAAUUGUUUACUCCAUGUGUAACUCUGUGUUGUUGUCUGUGUCACACUGCUAUGCUUUAUCUUGGCCAUCUUGGCUAUCUGGUUAAAUAAAGGUGAAAUAAAAAUCA